UAUCGCUUUCCUCACUAGUCCAUUAACUUAUAAAAUAAUCAAAAGCGAGUUAAAAAGAACCUUUUCCAAAAGAACAAAAAUAAACUUGAUCCAACGUCAAGUAUUUUUUCCAAAUCAAAUUGAAUGCAACGCGAGUACUCGAUCCAACGUCAAGUACCGCUUUUAUUUAAUUCACACAUUUUGUUCUAUUCAACCUCAAACACUUGAUCCAACGUCAAGUAAUUUUCUAAACAUUUUACUAUAAACCGGAUGAAAAAGAAUGGGUUGUACGUACUUGUG
rnacentral:lncRNA from 1 species